UGGAAAUGAUGAAAUAGAGAUAAUUGGGUGUUGAAUGUUGUAUGAUUGGAAAUUAUUAAUAUGUGUGUUAAGUAAUUAUUAGCCUAAGUUUAAUAUUGUAUGUUACAGUGUGUGUGUGUGUGCGCGUGCAUGUGGAGGCUGUGGAAAGGGGGCACUGACUGGUGAUGCUGAUACUGGAGUGCAUCUGAGGCUGUUGUAGAAAUACAUGGGUGUUGAUUACAACAUUGCCGAUGAUUAUAACCCAAGAACAGCUCACCUAACCAGCCUAACACCCUAAAAAUCUCUAACAGGUUCAUUAAACAUGGUCCUGUGAUCUGAUCCAA
ensembl:snoRNA SCARNA7 small Cajal body-specific RNA 7